CGCCGUCGGCGCGACUGGCGAAGGUGGACCACCACCGGGGAGCGCCGGCCGGCAGCCGCCGGGCCACCCGUGCGGCACCGCUCCGGAAGCACCUGGUCGCCCGCCUGGGCCGAGGUC
rnacentral:ncRNA from 14 species